UUGCGUUAGCUGCGCUACAAAGGUCUCAAGUACCCCUACAGCUAGUAGACAUCGUUUACGGCGUGGACUACCGGGGUAUCUAAUCCCGUUUGCUCCCCACGCUUUCGCACCUCAGCGUCAAUGUCGAGCCAGGAGGCCGCCUUCGCCACUGGUAUUCCUCCAUAUAUCUACGCAUUUCACUGCUACACAUGGAAUUCUACCUCCCUCUCCCGCAUUCUAGUCAUCCAGUAUCGGAUGCAGUUCCCAGGUUAAGCCCGGGGCUUUCACAUCCGACUUAAAAAACCGCCUACGCGCGCUUUACGCCCAGUAAUUCCGAUUAACGCUUGCACCCUCCGUAUUACCGCGGCUGCUGGCACGGAGUUAGCCGGUGCUUCUUCUAAAGGUAACGUCAGGGCUAAUGGCUAUUAACCAUUAGCUUUUCCUCCCAAUUGAAAGUGCUUUACAACCCUAGGGCCUUC
rnacentral:rRNA from 1 species